rnacentral:rRNA from 1 species
UCGAGAAUCUUCCUCAAUGGCCGAAAGGCUGAAGGAGCAAUGCCGCGUGAUCGAAGAAGCCCCUCGGGGUGUAAAGAUCUUUUAUCAGGGACGAAUUUUGACGGUACCUGAUGAAUCAGCCACUGCUAACUUCGUGCCAGCAGCAGCGGUAAUACGAAGGUGGCAAGCGUUAUCCGGAUUGAUUGGGCGUAAAGCGUCCGCAGAUGGUUUGAUAAGUCGUGGGUCAAAUCUUGAAGCUCAACUUCAAGGCUGCUCACGAAACUAUCAUUCUAGAGACUGGAAGAGGCAAGCGGAAUUAUCGGUGUAGCGGUAAAAUGCGUUAAUAUCGAUAAGAACACCAAAAGCGAAAGCAGCUUGCUGGUACAGUUCUGACAUUAAGGGACGAAAGCGUGGGGAGCGAAUGGG